AUAUGCUAAACUGUUUAUGGAUUCUGUUGUAUACACCCGUGUGACAUGCCAGGUCAACAUAGUCAACAUGCAGAUCAAGAUGGCAAGCAUUACCUGUAUGCGUGACAGAUUCCUAGCAUCUGGGAAGUCAACAAUGUGGAGAUGGCUUGGACCAAAUUCCCAACUCCAUCACAGUGAACUUGUUCUGCAGCAAGUGGAUCACUGAAGGUGGAUGGAGAAUUGUCUAGUCAAGACUCAAGAGCCCCAUUUAAGGGAGCAAAGCGUACCAUGAUGGCGAGGCGAGCAACAAACACACUGUAAUAUGAAGUAAGGCAGCGAGCACUCCCAUGCUGAAGGUCUUGGUCUUCCAAAUCUCCUGCAGGCAUCGAACUUCCGCAAAUUACUGUUGCUCUCCGGCCAUUAUUUCUGCUACUGUAACCACUGCAACAGAAUCGUAUAUUUUAUUCGUUGGCGGUGGUGGAGAAAGAAUGGAAUGCGUUUUGCGGCGUCACUUCGCACUUUAACUGGAAGCACAGAUUCGUUUGAUCGAAUUAAAAAAAGUGGCGCGUGGGCGUGCUCAUCCCAUCUCCUCGUAUCCUAAUAUUCCUACUUUUGUCUGCAUGCCCUUUGACCGUUGGGAGAUCUGCACUAGAGCCGUCACCGCCACCACCACCCUUUUAGCCU